CAAGACUUGGAGCAGAGAAUUCUUGCAAGGUCUUUUGUGCCAUCGCUUCAGCAAUUGGUAAUUACACACGUUUGGUUGUGGCUAUGUCCAUGAAAAUCUUCACACAAAAAUUGAUUCCAUCAGUGCAUGAAGAGGGAGAGAUGGUUGGCGUGAUGGAAAUUUGAGAGGGAGUGGAGGUUCAUGGUCUGUGGUAUUGGUCAUGAAUCUCAAUGGGAAAGAAGACAAGCACAUAGAGUCGCUAGCUCUUUCUCCAUGGUCCUUCCUUUCUCGGCACUUCAACCCCGCUUCCUCGCCCCUGCCCUGUGCCAGUCGCCAGCGUGGGUAAGCUUCAAGUGACAACUGAAGCAACGCUGCCGCCAUCCUAUAUGCCAGGUCUUCAAGUGCCCACAACGGCCACAAGGUACUAGAGGUGUAUAGCUGCUCCGACGAUCAUGAUGCUCUUGGCUACCAGUAAUAAGAAGGAUGAAAGCCAAUAUAUGAUGUAUUUCAGGCAAACUUUUGGACUUAACUUGCAGUACAUGGCCAUAGUGAAUGUACCUAUUUAAAUAGAAAUUCGUUUAUGAAAAAUACAUUGUAGAUGACAUAGGUACGUAACUGACUGAUUUAACUAUUCAUAUAUAUUGUUGAUAGUAAAUCUUGCCAUGGACAA